rnacentral:rRNA from 1 species
AGUGAACGCUGGCGGUAGGCCUAACACAUGCAAGUCGAACGGCAGCACAGUAAGAGCUUGCUCUUACGGGUGGCGAGUGGCGGACGGGUGAGGAAUACAUCGGAAUCUACUUUUUCGUGGGGGAUAACGUAGGGAAACUUACGCUAAUACCGCAUACGACCUACGGGUGAAAGCAGGGGAUCUUCGGACCUUGCGCGAUUGAAUGAGCCGAUGUCGGAUUAGCUAGUUGGCGGGGUAAAGGCCCACCAAGGCGACGAUCCGUAGCUGGUCUGAGAGGAUGAUCAGCCACACGGGAACUGAGACACGGACCAGACUCCUACGGGAGGCAGCAGUGGGGAAUGUUGGACAAUGGGGGCAAGCCUGAUACAGCCAUACCGCGUGGGAGAAGAAGGCCUUCGGGUUGUAAAGCCCUUUUGUGGGGAAAGAAAAGCAGCAGGUUAAUACCCCGCCGUUCUGACGGUACCCAAAGAAUAAGCACCGGCUAACUUCGUG